UUUAAUUAGCAUAUAAAUUUGAGUAUAUAUUUUAAUUCUAAAAGGAUUAAAAUAAAUUUUAAAUAGUAUAUAAAUUUAACUAUUAACGAAAGUUAGAGUUAGGUACAGAUUAUUAAUACGUAGUAAAUCUAGUGCCAGCAGCUGCGGUUACACUAGAGCGUAAAGUUAAUAUAAAUCUAAAAAUAAUAAUACAAUGAAAUUAUUAAACUUAAGUUUUAAAUAACUAUAGUAUUUGGUGAAAUGAACUACUAUUAGUUUUAUAAAAUUUUUUAAAUAAAUUUAAAUUAUAUAAGAUAUAGGAUAAUGACUAGGAUUAGAUACCCUAUUAAUUUAUAGAAAGAGUAUUUUUACGAUAGUAAAUGUGAAUCAUUAAACCGUAUUGACAUGGCGGUCGAUCAUCCAAGUUAGGGGAACCUGUGAAAUAAUUCGAUAAUCCACGAGAAGAAUUACUUUUAUAAUUUUUAUAUAUCGCUGUUUUAAGAGAUUUUUUUAAACUAGUCUCGUAAGAUUAAAAAUUUAGAUGUUAAUUCAGGUCAACACGUAGAUAAUAAAAGAAGUAAUGGGUUACAAUAUUAUUUGUUAUCAUGGAGUCGUUUAUUGAAUUAAACGGUAAAUAAGGAUUUAAUAGUAAAUUUAACUAAUUUGUUAAAUUGAACAUAGUUUUGAUCGACGUACAAAUUGCCCGUCAAUCCCGCCAAAAUCGGGGUAAGUCGAAACACAGUGGAGGUACCGGAAGGUGUUUCUAGAAAAU
rnacentral:rRNA from 1 species